rnacentral:rRNA from 1 species
GCGAAGGGGACAGCGGAGGGAUCAUUACCGAGUUAUUCAACUCAUCAACCCUGUGAACUUACCUAUACGUUGCUUCGGCGGGGAUUGAGACGGCCCCGUAAAACGGGCCGCCCCCCCCCCAGAGGACCCUUAACUCUGUUUCUAUAAUGUUUCUUCUGAGUAAAACAAGCAAAUAAAUUAAAACUUUCAACAACGGAUCUCUUGGCUCUGGCAUCGAUGAAGAACGCAGCGAAAUGCGAUAAGUAAUGUGAAUUGCAGAAUUCAGUGAAUCAUCGAAUCUUUGAACGCACAUUGCGCCCGCCAGUAUUCUGGCGGGCAUGCCUGUUCGAGCGUCAUUACAACCCUCAGGCCCCCGGGCCUGGCGUUGGGGAUCGGCGGAGCCCCCCGUGGGCACACGCCGUCCCCCAAAUACAGUGGCGGUCCCGCCGCAGCUUCCAUCGCGUAGUAGCUAACACCUCGCGACUGGAGAGCGGCGCGGCCACGCCGUAAAACACCCAACUCUUCUGAAGUUGACCUCGAAUCAGGUAGGAAUACCCGCUGAACUUAAGCAUAUCAAUAAGCGGAGGAAAAGAAACCAACAGGGAUUGCCCCAGUAACGGCGAGUGAAGCGGCAACAGCUCAAAUUUGAAAUCUGGCUCUCGGGCCCGAGUUGUAAUUUGUAGAGGAUGCUUUUGGUGAGGUGCCUUCCGAGUUCCCUGGAACGGGACGCCAUAGAGGGUGAGAGCCCCGUCUGGUUGGACGCCGAACCUCUGUAAAGCUCCUUCGACGAGUCGAGUAGUUUGGGAAUGCUGCUCUAAAUGGGAGGUAUAUGUCUUCUAAAGCUAAAUACCGGCCAGAGACCGAUAGCGCACAAGUAGAGUGAUCGAAAGAUGAAAAGAACUUUGAAAAGAGAGUUAAACAGUACGUGAAAUUGUUGAAAGGGAAGCGCUUGUGACCAGACUUGGGCUUGGUUGAUCAUCCGGGGUUCUCCCCGGUGCACUCUUCCGGCCCAGGCCAGCAUCAGUUCGCCCUGGGGGAUAAAGGCAUCGGGAACGUGGCUCUCUCCGGGGAGUGUUAUAGCCCGUUGCGUAAUACCCUGCGGCGGACUGAGGUUCGCGCAUUCGCAAGGAUGCGGCGAAUCCCUGGUUU